AAUACUUUUUCAGAUUUGGUGUGAAAGGAGUAGCAACAAAGAUGGAGGAGGAGAGCUGAGCGCUGUGAGAAGGUGGAAGCAGAGAGCAAAGCAGAUUAAUGUCCUCAGAGGUGCCCCCCAGACCUGACAGCAGCCACUCCAAAUGAUGGAGGUGGUACAGGUACCACACCCAGGUCAAGCUGUAAAGAGCCACCUCUAGGACAGAAGUGCCAGCAUCUGACCUCUGAGGAGCCCGAGGCUAGGACCGCAUCCAGCCACACCUAGGCUCCUCUCUGAGAAGGAGUUUAGAAAGCAAGGAGGUCAGGUCCCAACCUCGGCACUUGGCAGGAGAUCCAGACAUCCCUCUUAAAUGCUUUAGUGGGACAAAGCAGCCCCCAGGGGAGCAUAUAG